AAUAUGUUUUAGCUAAGUCACUGUUCCAGCAGUGGCU
rnacentral:antisense_RNA from 1 species